rnacentral:rRNA from 1 species
GACGAACUGUUCUAACGUUAUUCGGAAUCACUGGGCUUAAAGGGCGCGUAGGCUGUUUGUUAAGCGGGUCUGAAAUCCCUCGGCUCAACCGAGGAACUGGGCUUCGAACUGGCAGACUAGAGUGAAGUAGGGGUAAGCGGAACUUGCGGUGGAGCGGUGAAAUGCUUUGAUAUCGCAAGGAACACCGGCGGCGAAGGCUGCUUACUGGGCUUCAACUGACGCUUAAGCGCGAAAGCUAGGGUAGCGAACGGGAUUAGAUACCCGCGUAGUCCCUGAGCGGGCU